rnacentral:rRNA from 1 species
UACGGGGGGGGCAAGCGUUGUUCGGAAUUACUGGGCGUAAAGGGCUCGUAGGCGGCCAACUAAGUCGGACGUGAAAUCCCUCGGCUCAACCGGGGAACUGCGUCCGAUACUGGAUGGCUUGAGUUCGGGAGAGGGAUGCGGAAUUCCCCAAGUAGAGGUGAAAUUCGUAGAUAUGGGGAGGAACACCGGUGGCGAAGGCGGCCACCUGGACGGUAACUGACGCUGAGACGCGAAAGCGUGGGGAGCAAACAGG